rnacentral:rRNA from 1 species
UACGUAGGGACCAAGCGUUGUCCGGAAUCAUUGGGCGUAAAGAGCGUGUAGGCGGCUUGUUAAGUCUUGCGUGAAACUCGGGGCUCAACCCCGAGCGGUCGUGAGAAACUGGCAGGCUAGAGUGCGGGAGAGGAGAGUGGAAUUCCUGGUGUAGCGGUGAAAUGCGCAGAUAUCGGGAGGAACACCAAUGGCGAGGCAGCUCGCUGGGACGGUACUGACGCUCAUGCACGAAAGCGUGGGGAGCAAACAGG